rnacentral:rRNA from 1 species
CCUACGGGAGGCAGCAGUGGGGAAUUUUCCGCAAUGGGCGAAAGCCUGACGGAGCAAUACCGCGUGAGGGAGGAAGGCUCUUGGGUUGUAAACCUCUUUUCUCAGGGAAGAAGUUCUGACGGUACCUGAGGAAUAAGCAUCGGCUAACUCUGUGCCAGCAGCCGCGGUAAUACAGAGGAUGCAAGCGUUAUCCGGAAUGAUUGGGCGUAAAGCGUCCGCAGGUGGUUUUAUAUGUCUGCUGUUAAAUAGUUAGGCUUAACCUAAUAAAGGCGGUGGAAACUAUAAGACUAGAGUACGUUCGGGGUAGAGGGAAUUCCCAGUGUAGCGGUGAAAUGCGUAGAGAUUGGGAAGAACACCAGUGGCGAAGGCGCUCUGCUAGGACUGUACUGACACUGAGGGACGAAAGCUAGGGGAGCGAAUGGGAUUAGAUACCCCAGUAGUCCUAGCCGUAAACGAUGGAUACUAGGCGUUGUCUGUAUCGACCCGGACAGUGCCGUAGCUAACGCGUUAAGUAUCCCGCCUGGGGUAGGUACGCGAGCGACGNGUGAACGUAAAGUAGUAGUUAGACGGCGUGUAGACGUUGCCGACGGACGACGACGAGGGAGGUUAGG